UCUCUUUUUACCGCUUGGAGUCCCUAUUUCGUAAUUCGUUACCUUGGGGUUUACGAUUAAAAGCCGGUGGUGGGACAAGGAAAUGGCGAUCGGAGUGCAUUUUGUGUUAGCACGCCGAAAAGUAAUGUUGCGCAUUUAAAAAGUUGGAAUUAAUUGUGUUCAUUGAGGCAUCCGUUUGGAUAUUGGAAUUGGAUAUUUGGGGAGUUUGUCUCAAUGCCGCUUAGCGGGAUUUAAUUGAUAUCCACUUAAUUGGUGCUUUGGUCUGGCACUCGGCUUGGCCGGAUUUUAUGCAACAAGGCGUUUAUCGGCUUUUAUUUUGAUCAUCCGCUUCAGGUCGAAGCGGAUUUUGGGUGACGGAUCUACAUUACCACGUGAAUCUAGUAUUUGUUUUGUCACUUAUCGGCGUGGGAACAGUCGUGGGUCUCGUGUAAUCAGACUGGAGUUUUGGUAUUGGAUGUGAGCUGCGAAGGAUAUGUAAAACUGUUCGAGUUCGAGUUCCGGGGAGACCUGUUUCACUGUGAUUGUCUGUACCGCAUGGAGGGUUAUUUGUCGUAACGUCGGAGGAAUUUUAUGCAUGGCUGUAAUGGAGGGAAGCCGUUAACUGGGUGGAAUCGUCGUGUACCAAGUUCGAGCGCGACACCUGUCCGAGAACUUGAUCGUUCUGGUCGGAGACAGCUCCGAGACAUCGUUGCCGAUUUUGCUGUUCACCGGUACCGUCCCAUUGCGAUCCCUUCGAGUUUACCGAUAGGCGAGGACCCGCACAGC